rnacentral:rRNA from 1 species
UACGUAGGGCGCAAGCGUUGUCCGGAAUUAUUGGGCGUAAAGAGCUCGUAGGCGGUCUGUCACGUCUGCCGUGAAAACCCGAGGCUUAACCUCGUGGCUUGCGGUGGAUACGGGCAGACUAGAGGUAGGUAGGGGAGAACGGAAUUCCCGGUGUAGCGGUGAAAUGCGCAGAUAUCGGGAGGAACACCGGUGGCGAAGGCGGUUCUCUGGGCCGUGUACUGACGCUGAGGAGCGAAAGCGUGGGGAGCAAACAGG